GAUGAACGCUGGCGGCGUGCUUAACACAUGCAAGUCGAACGGUGAACGAGGGAGCUUGCUCCCUCCGGAUCAGUGGCGAACGGGUGAGUAACACGUGAGCAAUCUGCCCUGGACUCUGGGAUAAGCGUUGGAAACGACGUCUAAUACCGGAUACGAGGCGUGGGGGCAUCCCCAACGCCUGGAAAGAACUUCGGUCCAGGAUGAGCUCGCGGCCUAUCAGCUAGUUGGUGAGAUAACGGCUCACCAAGGCGACGACGGGUAGCCGGCCUGAGAGGGUGACCGGCCACACUGGGACUGAGACACGGCCCAGACUCCUACGGGAGGCAGCAGUGGGGAAUAUUGCACAAUGGGCGCAAGCCUGAUGCAGCAACGCCGCGUGAGGGUCGACGGCCUUCGGGUUGUAAACCUCUUUUAGCAGGGAAGAAGCGAAAGUGACGGUACCUGCAGAAAAAGCACCGGCUAACUACGUGCCAGCCGCCGCCGUAA
rnacentral:rRNA from 1 species